AUUGAACGCUGGCGGCAUGCCUUACACAUGCAAGUCGAACGGCAGCGCGGGGCAACCUGGCGGCGAGUGGCGAACGGGUGAGUAAUAUAUCGGAACGUGCCCUGGAGUGGGGGAUAACGUAGCGAAAGUUACGCUAAUACCGCAUACGAUCCAAGGAUGAAAGCAGGGGACCUUCGGGCCUUGUGCUCCUGGAGCGGCCGAUAUCUGAUUAGCUAGUUGGUGGGGUAAAAGCCUACCAAGGCGACGAUCAGUAGCUGGUCUGAGAGGACGACCAGCCACACUGGAACUGAGACACGGCCCAGACUCCUACGGGAGGCAGCAGUGGGGAAUAUUGCGCAAUGGGCGAAAGCCUGACGCAGCGACGCCGCGUGGGUGAUGAAGGCCUCGGUCGUAAAGCCUCGUCGCAGGGGAAGGAAAGU
rnacentral:rRNA from 1 species